AUUUGGCCUCAAGGGUACGGGGGUUAAUAAAAUUUAUAUUUGACAAUAUGUUGAAGAUUAUUGACAGGAGAACAAACUAGUUGAAGCUCGUAUUGUUGUUGUUAGCAACGAAUGAUGACAGCGGAGUUUUACGGUCAUUACAGCAGUGACAUGCACUUCCACUAGUUUAGUCUCCUGUGUGAUAUUGUCUUCAUCUCAAUUCUGUAUGAUACUGCGUGAUGUGAUAUAUCAGAAGAUUGUACUAGGUAUAUAUAAGCAAAUGUCGGUUUAGUACCGAAUCGUGGACUGUGGGUCCCCUCUUGCCAAUAAUGUAAUUUACGAACGUUAUUUUAAUAAAUAAUUUGUCGUCGUAA